CACGAAAAUAGUUGAGCUAAAUAAUUGUAAUUAUUAGAUUGUCAUAUGUAGCAUAAUAAAAACAAAUAAUUAUUUAGGGGUGAUAGGCUUGUCAAAACUAUAGAUAUCUUGAUUCUUUUUAAAAACAUUUAGUGUAAUGUCAACUAAGAAAUGAUAAGGUUUUUUAGUAGUAUGAAUAUGUCUUAACAGUUUAAAUCUUAACUUAAUCGUUAGAUUUUACCUACAUUAAAUUAUUAAUUUACAAUAUAUUGUGGCUUAUAUAAAGAAAUAUUUAAACUGUUUAAAUAAUUUAAAAUGUAACUAUAAGUAACUUGUAUAAAUACAAAAAAUGAACUCGGCAAAUGCCUUUCAACUGUUUACCAAAAACAUAGCUAUGUGUAAUUAUUCAUAGUAAUUUCUGCUCAAUGAAAACUUAAAUAGCCGCAGUACCCUGACUGUGCAAAGGUAGCGAAAUAAUUUGGCUUAUAAUUGAAGUCCCGUAUAAAUGAAAAUUUGGGGGGCAUCUUUAUUCUUUGUAGAACUUGAAAUUACUAAUUAAGUGUAAAUUCUUAUAUUUAAAUGAUAGACGAGAAGACCCUAGAAAUUUUUAUAAAUUGUAGUUAAUCUUUUUGUUGGGGCAACAAGGUAACAUAAAAUUUACCUUUAAUAACAAGAACAUUUAUGUGAUAGAAUAAAUUACUCUAGGGAUAACAGCGUAAUUUAUAAAAGUUUGCGACCUCGAUGUUGGACUAGGGAACUGUUGUUUAGAA
rnacentral:rRNA from 2 species